GGCUCAAUGGUCUAGUGGUGAGAUUCUUGCUUUGGGUGCGAGAGGUCCUGAGUUCGAUUCUCAAUUGAGCCC
rnacentral:tRNA from 1 species